UUCCGGGUGAUAGGGAGGGACUUCGGGUCAUCGCUAUUUGCUGGAGAAAAGAAAUGGCCGAAUCCACAAGGCUAAACCUUUCUGGAGAAGAAUUGGAGAAUAGGCAAAAGGAAACUAGUUUGACACCAUUAUUAGAGAGGAGAAGAGGCUAAAGCUCUUUGGAGAAGGAUCGAAAAUUUGUUGUUCGUCUCCGUUACCGGAUUUGGAGGAGCAGAGGCAAAAAGCACCUUCAGGAUCUGAGAAGUUGGAAAAGGAAAUGCUGCCGUUAUCAUCAUCAUCAGAGGAGGAGAAGCAGAGGAAAAAAGAGGCACACCUGGAGAAGAUGCUUAAAUAUUUCUUCGGAAACGCAGAGGAGGCUAUGAGGAAGAGAGAGAGUAAUCUUGCAACCUUUAGAGAGGCGCAUAAGAGGCAACGAGAAUUGUAUGAAGCAGGAAGUCGGAAGCCGGAACAACAACUUCUUUUUUUUUUUGGCGUUUUGAAGUUUGCUUAUUUGUGGGUUUUGGUAUCUUGAGAUGAUUGAGCUUUGGUAGGCUUUCUAUUGGGAUGACUAUGUGCAAACACGGCCAUUGUUGGUUUGCCGAGCUGUGAGUUUUGUUUUGGCAAGCUGCCGGGGAGGCGUUGUGUCACAGGAGGAAAGGAAGAGGCAUUUGAACCACCAAACUACAGCUCCACAGUAAUAUGAUUUGCUUGGUCAUCUGCCAAAAGCAUUUCCUAAAAGAAUAUUACUGCUUUCUGGUUCCAUCAUCACUUCCUAUCCUAGUUGUUGCAAUACAAUUUCACUGGUUCAGGAUGAAGAUCUUCAAGCAUACACAGAUGGAUUCGUUGAUGGACCAUUCGGUCAAUUCAUUAGGAAGAUUAAAACAAUUCUGGUGACCAAAUUGAUCAAAACGUUGGGCGACUUAUGGUGCCUCUUGAGGAGUCCUCGAAGCGGAUCCUGCUGGAAGGUUUUUACUGGAUUGUUGGUACUAGUAUUGGUGAUCUUCUAUUUUGCUGGGAGAGUAUUUCGUGUUGGGGGAGACCUUUAAUUUUGUUGGGAGAGUCCUUCGCAGGGAGAGUAUUGCCACAAAUGUACAGUUUGUUGUUUCUAUUGAUUAGUAUCUCGUAUUCACAAUUGAGCUAGUAGUAUUGGUAACUAAAGUGAUUUGUUUGGUGGAUAACGAAGAGGAUAAUGCCACAAUUGUACAAAUUUAUUUUUUAAAAAGAAUUCG